GGAAGUGGGAAGGGGUGGAUGAGGACAGAGGAGAAAAGUCAGGCAAAUGUCCUCUUCCCCCUCAUGACUCCAUACGUGUCCCCUCCCUAAGCCACGUACUUAGAGGCCAACCUUCGGUNAUAGGGGAAGAUGGGUCUUCAAUCAAGGGUGUAAGAGUCGCUGUGGUCCUCUGUGAGAACUUCCAAAUAACUCUCAAAGGACAGCACAGGAGGGUAAAAGAUGCAAACUUAAGUUCAUAAACUCAUACACACAAAAAUCAUAAGAAAAUAAGCAGAACAUCCUAU
rnacentral:snRNA from 1 species